GGAGAGAUGCCGGAGCGGUUGAACGGGCCGGUCUCGAAAACCGGUGUACGGCUUGGCCGUACCGUGGGUUCGAAUCCCACUCUCUCCGCCA
rnacentral:tRNA from 1 species